AGUGAACGCUGGCGGUAGGCCUAACACAUGCAAGUCGAACGGCAGCACAGUAAGAGCUUGCUCUUACGGGUGGCGAGUGGCGGACGGGUGAGGAAUACAUCGGAAUCUACUUUUUCGUGGGGGAUAACGUAGGGAAACUUACGCUAAUACCGCAUACGACCUACGGGUGAAAGCAGGGGAUCUUCGGACCUUGCGCGAUUGAAUGAGCCGAUGUCGGAUUAGCUAGUUGGCGGGGUAAAGGCCCACCAAGGCGACGAUCCGUAGCUGGUCUGAGAGGAUGAUCAGCCACACUGGAACGGAGACACGGUCCAGACGCCUAAGGGAGGCAGCAGUGGGGAAUAUUGGACAAUGGGCGCAAGCCUGAUCCAGCCAUACCGCGUGGGUGAAGAAGGCCUUCGGGUUGUAAAGCCCUUUUGUUGGGAAAGAAAAGCAGCAGGUUAAUACCCCGCUGUUCUGACGGUACCCAAAGAAUAAGCACCGGCUAACUUCGUG
rnacentral:rRNA from 1 species